rnacentral:tRNA from 2 species
UAUAAAAUGCCUGAAAAAGGGUUAUUCUGAUAGGAUAAAUUAUGUAAAUAAACUUUACUUUUAUAA